rnacentral:rRNA from 1 species
UACAGAGGUCCCAAGCGUUGUUCGGAUUCACUGGGCGUAAAGGGUGCGUAGGUGGUUGGGUAAGUCUGAGGUGAAAUCUCCGAGCUUAACUCGGAAACUGCCUCGGAUACUAUCCAGCUUGAGGGUUGGAGGGGGGACUGGAAUUCUCGGUGUAGCAGUGAAAUGCGUAGAUAUGUGGAGGAACACCAGUGGCGAAGGCGGCUUUCUGGUCUGUAACUGACGCUGAGGCGCGAAAGCGUGGGUAGCAAACAGG